GACGAACGCUGGCGGCGUGCUUAACACAUGCAAGUCGAACGGAAAAGCCCUGCUUUUGUGGGGUGCUCGAGUGGCGAACGGGUGAGUAACACGUGAGUAACCUGCCCUUGACUUUGGGAUAACUUCAGGAAACUGGGGCUAAUACCGGAUAGGAGCUCCUGCUGCAUGGUGGGGGUUGGAAAGUUUCGGCGGUUGGGGAUGGACUCGCGGCUUAUCAGCUUGUUGGUGGGGUAGUGGCUUACCAAGGCUUUGACGGGUAGCCGGCCUGCGAGGGUGACCGGCCACAUUGGGACUGAGAUACGGCCCAGACUCCUACGGGAGGCAGCAGUGGGGAAUAUUGCACAAUGGGCGGAAGCCUGAUGCAGCAACGCCGCGUGCGGGAUGACGGCCUUCGGGUUGUAAACCGCUUUCGCCUGUGACGAAGCGUGAGUGACGGUAAUGGGUAAAGAAGCACCGGCUAACUACGUG
rnacentral:rRNA from 1 species